UCCAGUGACCUUCCCCGUGGUA
rnacentral:misc_RNA from 1 species